UACGUAGGGUGCGAGCGUUGUCCGGAAUUAUUGGGCGUAAAGAGCUUGUAGGCGGUUUGUCGCGUCUGCCGUGAAAAUCCGAGGCUCAACCUCGGACUUGCGGUGGGUACGGGCAGACUAGAGUGUGGUAGGGGAGACUGGAAUUCCUGGUGUAGCGGUGAAAUGCGCAGAUAUCAGGAGGAACACCGAUGGCGAAGGCAGGUCUCUGGGCCGCUACUGACGCUGAGAAGCGAAAGCAUGGGGAGCGAACAGG
rnacentral:rRNA from 1 species